AGAACUUGUUGCAUUCUACAAACAAAACGGCAUAGAAUGGGCAAGCCCUGUGAAGUGCAGACUCCAAGGGGAUGCUGCCAUUGGUGAGGGAGUAACCAGACAUUUCUUGUCUACUGUUAUACAGAGGCUUCAGCAUGGAUUUAAUUUUAACAUGGGAAAUACUGCAAGGACCUGUCUCUUUGACGGUGAACCAGGUCAUCUUGUUCCAUCAUCAUCACAAUUUCUCGUAGAGAGUGAUCUGUUCCUUGUUGCAGGACGAAUGAUUGGACAUUCUUUCCUACAUGGUGGACCUCGGCUGGCUGGAGUCAGCCAAGCAAUAGUCCAUGUACUACUAGGAGGUUCACCUGAGACUGCUACAGUGCAAAUAGAAGACUGUCCUGACCAUGAU